rnacentral:rRNA from 1 species
UGGGGAAUAUUGGACAAUGGGCGGAAGCCUGAUCCAGCCAUGCCGCGUGUGUGAAGAAGGCCUUUUGGUUGUAAAGCACUUUAAGCGAGGAGGAGGCUACUUGGAUUAAUACUCUAGGAUAGUGGACGUUACUCGCAGAAUAAGCACCGGCUAACUCUGUGCCAGCAGCCGCGGUAAUACAGAGGGUGCGAGCGUUAAUCGGAUUUACUGGGCGUAAAGCGUGCGUAGGCGGCUUCUUAAGUCGGAUGUGAAAUCCCUGAGCUUAACUUAGGAAUUGCAUUCGAUACUGGGAAGCUAGAGUAUGGGAGAGGAUGGUAGAAUUCCAGGUGUAGCGGUGAAAUGCGUAGAGAACUAGAGGAAUACCGAUGGCGAAGGCAGCCAUCUGGCCUAAUACUGACGCUGAGGUACGAAAGCAUGGGGAGCAAACAGG